UCCAGAGCAACUUCAACAUGGCCAGAACCCCAAAAGAACCCACCAACAAAGAGACGACUCACCAAAUGCAUGGACAAAGAUUUCUUUAUUGACUCGAGGAUACGAGCUGCAGCAAGGACCCCAUUCGUUCGGGAACAAAUGGAGUAUCCACUUUCAACGUAGGGCUGUUUUUAUAAGGGAAAAUUGUGGGGCUGGGAGCCCCAAGAUUACAAAACUUCGGUGGGUUACACAGGACAGGACAAUGGUCGUAUGCUUCAGGCAAGGUGCAAUUAAGCAGGAUGCUGCAGAGGAAAUAAGUUUGUUAAUUGUCUCCUGGGCUGGUGACUUCUACAAUUGAUGACUAUCUGAUCCUCUUUGGACUAGAGAAAUGUCAACACAGCUCAAGGGUGUGAUAUCUGGUCUAAGGCCUUGAGUCCUGUGGACCUUUGUUUAACCUUGUCUGCUGGGCUGCCUUUUGGGAACUCAGAGAAGCUUAAGAGUUUUUCUAUUUGCACUUUGG
rnacentral:lncRNA from 1 species